rnacentral:snRNA from 1 species
AAGUCUAUAUCCAUGUGUCAUCUCAUUGAUCAUCAUGAUUAAUUUGGCAUAUCUGACUGACUAGACGGGUGUCUCCUUCCUCCUCUCACUGUUCCAUGUGUGUCCCUCCAAAACUUGGGUCAAAGAAGACAAACUUCCCAGAAUAGAAAUCAGUCCCCUCUUUGGUAGAGAGUAUGGGAGUAGCUAUGUUACCCUGCUAGAUCAUCCAAACAAGUUUUUCAAAUACUGCAAGCACUUAUCCUUAUCUGCUUUUU